CAGACUAUACUUUCAGGGAUCAUUUCUAUAGUUUGUUUCUAAUCACCAAAAUGUACUAACUUUUCUUUCCUAAAACCUUUCAAAGGC
rnacentral:snoRNA from 1 species